GUAGGUGGCAAGCGUUGUCCGGAAUUAUUGGGCGUAAAGCGCGCGCAGGCGGUUCUUUAAGUCUGAUGUGGAAGCCCACGGCUCAACCGUGGAGGGUCAUUGGAAACUGGAGAACUUGAGUACAGAAGAGGAAAGCGGAAUUCCACGUGUAGCGGUGAAAUGCGUAGAGAUGUGGAGGAACACCAGUGGCGAAGGCGGCUUUCUGGUCUGUAACUGACGCUGAGGCGCGAAAGCGUGGGGAGCAAACAGGGAUUAGAUACCCUGGUAGUCCACGCCGUAAACGAUGAGUGCUAAGUGUUAGGGGGUUUCCGCCCCCCUUAGUGCUGCAGCUAACGCAUUAAGCACUCCGCCUGGGGAGUACGGCCGCAAGGCUG
rnacentral:rRNA from 1 species